rnacentral:rRNA from 1 species
UACGGGGGGGCAAGCGUUGUUCGGAAUUACUGGGCGUAAAGGGCUCGUAGGCGGCCAACUAAGUCGGACGUGAAAUCCCUCGGCUUAACCGGGGAACUGCAUCUGAUACUGGAUGGCUUGAGUUCGGGAGAGGGAUGCGGAAUUCCAGGUGUAGCGGUGAAAUGCGUAGAUAUCUGGAGGAACACCGGUGGCGAAGGCGGCAUCCUGGACCGACACUGACGCUGAGGUGCGAAAGCGUGGGGAGCAAACAGG